rnacentral:rRNA from 1 species
AUGCUCUCGGAGGAGGAGGAGGAGGUGGUUUGGCCCCACUCCUCAUCUGGCCAUUUUUCCGUGAAAUGUUUAUAUGGCAAGCUGAUUUCUGGUUCGAACACUUCCAAAUUCAAGUGGAUUUGGAGAGCCCGCAUCCCUCCAAAGAUCAAGAUUUUCCUUUGGCAAGCCUCUCGCGGGCGGUUGCCGGCUGGUGAUCAAAUUCGCAAACGUAAUGGCCCUGGCACUGAUUGCUGCGCUCUAUGUGGGCAUAGAGAGGACACGAAUCAUAUUUUCUUUAACUGUGUUUUGGCUAAACUUUUCUUGUGCUCUAUCAGAUCGUGGUUGCAUGUUUCUUGGAGACCCUCUUCCUUCUCAGACCUUCGUCUCUUGGCCUCUAACCUGGUUGGGGCCCAGAGAAGAUUGUUUUGGGUGGGAUUGGCAGCGGUGUGUUGGACUCUGUGGACGACAAGGAAGAAGUUUACCAUUGAACAUGUGUUCCCUGCCAAACCUGUUGAUUGCUUAUUUAAAACUUGCAUAUUCUUGCAACAGUGGAGAUUAUUAACUAAGGAGGAAGACCGGGAUGCGUUCGAUGUCAUGAUGUCUAAGAUUCGGGCUUCUGCUACUUCCCUUUCUCCAGUUCGAGCCCGCAAUUAG